AUACGGAGGAUGCGAGCGUUAUCCGGAUUUAUUAGGUUUAAAGGGUGUGUAGGCGGUAUUUUAAGUCAGUGGUGAAAUCUCGGAGCUUAACUUCGAAACUGCCAUUGAUACUGGAAUACUUGAGUAUAGUUGAGGUAGGCGGAAUAUGUAAUGUAGCGGUGAAAUGCAUAGAUAUUACAUAGAACACAGAUUGCGAAGGCAGCUUACUAAACUAUUACUGACGCUGAUGCACGAAAGCGUGGGGAGCGAACAGGAUUAGAUACCCGGGUAGUCC
rnacentral:rRNA from 1 species